rnacentral:lncRNA from 1 species
CUAAAACUCUAAUAAUUGCUUUUGAAUAUUGUGUCCAGGUUACUCGUAUACCAACUUAGCCUAUUUAUAAAUAGGCAAAUCAAGUCGCGUGCAAUUCAUGACAUACAAUCAUACAUUAAAUUGCCAAUAAUAUGAUAGUAUUCUAACGGAGACUUAUACUGACCAAUGUUUGAAACAAGUAGCUAACUAGCAUCAAUUGACAUUUUAAUAGGAAUAAUAUCAUAUUUUUUGAACUUAUCACAAAUUUUCUUAAUAUAGUGUGAUUGAGAUAAUAUGAAAUUAUCAUAUAUUCUAUGUUUUAAUUCCUAAUAUAGGCAUUGUUUGAGCCAUAUUAUUUGAAAAAAAAUAUAUUUUUCAAAAGUGAGUGAUCUCAUUUCAAUCACAUAUUUUUUAAUAAAAUAAUAUUAUAUGUAAAUUCAAAACAUUUCCUUAUUUUUUAAUAACACAUUUUUUAUCAAUAUACUAUUUAAAAAUGCAUUUUCAUUCCAAUAAUAUGGCUCAAAUAGGUCAUAAUAUUAGCGACGCACAAAUCCUUCAUUUCAAAUUUACUCGUUCACAUCCUCUUUGUAGUUUGAAUUAUGGUAUUAUUAUGAUCCAUAAUUAGCAUGUUGAGCUUUGAUAUCAAAUUGUUAAAUUUAAAAGUCAAAGAAAAACAAUAUUUUAUUUAUGAAAUAGCUCACACUUAUUUUAUUUAUAGGAACUCUCACACUUAAUUACUAGACCCACUAGAGCAUGUAUCUCACUGCCCUCUAUUUCUCAGUUUCUCUCUCUGCUCACCACUUUCUUCAAAAUCACAUAUAUUUUGUCUUUCUCGCUUCUCUCAUCACACAUGCAUAUACUCAACACACACACAGAGUAGCUUCUUCUUCUACACAAAAGUCGGGGGCUUCCUUCUAAUUUUUCCAAUAUGAUGGUGAAGGAUUUAUCUAGAAUGGUGGUGGUCGUCAAUUCCAGGUUUUUUUUAAAGAUUAUUCUUUAGUUUCCUUAAAGAAGAAGGUCCAAAAAAUGAGAUGAAUAACCCACACAAAUCAAGAAUUUUCUCAAAGUCGGUGAUGAUCUUCAUAGCAUGUCAACUACGCAUAAAUAUAUCAUAAUAUUUCCAUUUUGAUUGCUAUUGACAUGCACACAUUUGUUAUAAUCAUUUAUAUUCAAACCGUUUGACAUUAUUGCUGCGUCAAAAUUUUCAUGCAAUUUUUUAGGAGCAUGCUUUAUCCUACUAAGUGAUUUAACGAGUAGACACAUUUUCUUUUCUUAUCACGAGACAACAAAUCCUUUAUAUUAGUCUAUAUAAAUUUAUUUGUCUAAUUUAUCAUUCAAGAAUAUCGUUUAAACAUCCAUUUAAAUUUAAUUGUGAAUGACUUAUUUUCAAUAUGAAGCUUCGCUUGCCUACAUAACCUCUUUAAAACUUUGAGGUUCAUUUUAUAAUAAAUACUAG